rnacentral:rRNA from 1 species
UACAGGGGGUGCAAACGUUGCUCGGAAUUAUUGGGCGUAAAGCGCACGUAGGCGGUUCGUUAUGUCAGAUGUGAAAAGCCCUUGGCUCAACUGAGGAAGUGCAUCUGAAACUGGCGAGCUAGAGUAUGUAAGAGGGUCGCGGAAUUCCCGGUGUAGAGGUGAAAUUCGUAGAUAUCGGGAGGAACACCGGUGGCGAAGGCGGCGACCUGGGAC